CCUACGGGGGGCAGCAGUGGGGAAUAUUGGACAAUGGGGGCAACCCUGAUCCAGCCAUGCCGCGUGUGUGAAGAAGGCCCUCGGGUUGUAAAGCACUUUCAGUGAGGAAGAACGCCUGGUGGUUAAUACCCAUCAGGAAAGACAUCACUCACAGAAGAAGCACCGGCUAACUCCGUGCCAGCAGCCGCGGUAAUACGGAGGGUGCGAGCGUUAAUCGGAAUUACUGGGCGUAAAGCGCGCGUAGGUGGCUUGAUAAGCCGGUUGUGAAAGCCCCGGGCUCAACCUGGGAACGGCAUCCGGAACUGUCAAGCUAGAGUGCAGGAGAGGAAGGUAGAAUUCCCGGUGUAGCGGUGAAAUGCGUAGAGAUCGGGAGGAAUACCAGUGGCGAAGGCGGCCUUCUGGACUGACACUGACACUGAGGUGCGAAAGCGUGGGUAGCAAACAGGAUUAGAUACACCUGUAGUC
rnacentral:rRNA from 1 species